UCGAGAAUCUUCCGCAAUGGACGAAAGUCUGACGGAGCGACGCCGCGUGAUGGAUGAAGUCCCUCUGGGACGUAAACAUCUUUUAUGAGGGAGAAAGUUUAUUGAUAGUACCUCACGAAUAAGGGGUUGCUAAACUCGUGCCAGCAGCAGCGGUAAUACGAGUGCCCCGAGCGUUAUCCGGAAUCAUUGGGCGUAAAGGGUGUGUAGGUGGCAUUGUUAGUCACACGUUAAACCCUGGGGCUUAACCCCAGAUCUGCGUGUGAUACGGCAAAGCUAGAGGAUGGCAGGGAUGUAUGGAACUCAUGGAGUAGGGGUGAAAUCCGUUGAUAUCAUGGGGAACACCGAAAGCGAAGGCAGUACAUUGGGCCACUCCUGACACUGAAACACGAAAGCGUGGGUAGCGAAUGGGAUUAGAUACCCAUGUAGUCCCUGAGCGGGCUGGCAAGGCGCAU
rnacentral:rRNA from 1 species